CUGAGACACGGCCCAAACUCCUACGGGAGGCAGCAGUGGGGAAUAUUGGACAAUGGGGGCAACCCUGAUCCAGCAAUGCCAUGUGUGUGAAGAAGGCCCUAGGGUUGUAAAGCACUUUAGUUGGGGAGGAAAGCCUCAAGGUUAAUAGCCUUGGGGGAGGACGUUACCCAAAGAAUAAGCACCGGCUAACUCCGUGCCAGCAGCCGCGGUAAUACGGGGGGUGCAAGCGUUAAUCGGAAUUACUGGGCGUAAAGGGUCUGUAGGUGGUUUGUUAAGUCAGAUGUGAAAGCCCAGGGCUCAACCUUGGAACUGCAUUUGAUACUGGCAAACUAGAGUACGGUAGAGGAAUGGGGAAUUUCUGGUGUAGCGGUGAAAUGCGUAGAGAUCAGAAGGAACACCAAUGGCGAAGGCAACAUUCUGGACCGAUACUGACACUGAGGGACGAAAGCGUGGGGAUCAAACAGGAUUAGAUACCCUGGUAGUCCACGCUGUAAACGAUGAGUACUAGCUGUUGGAGUCGGUGUAAAGGCUCUAGUGGCGCAGCUAACGCGAUAAGUACUCCGCCUGGGGACUACGGCCGCAAGGCUAAAACUCAAAGGAAUUGACGGGGACCCGCACAAGCGGUGGAGCAUGUGGUUUAAUUCGAUGCAACGCGAAGAACCUUACCUGGUCUUGACAUCCUGCGAACUUUCUAGAGAUAGAUUGGUGCCUUCGGGAACGCAGUGACAGGUGCUGCACGGCUGUCGUCAGCUCGUGUUGUGAAAUGUUGGGUUAAGUCCCGCAACGAGCGCAACCCCUAUUGAUAGUUACCAUCAUUAAGUUGGGUACUCUAUUAAGACUGCCGCUGACAAGGCGGAGGAAGGUGGGGACGACGUCAAGUCAUCAUGGCCCUUACGACCAGGGCUACACACGUGCUACAAUGGGUAUUACAGAGGGCUGCGAAGGUGCGAGCUGGAGCGAAACUCAAAAAGGUACUCUUAGUCCGGAUUGCAGUCUGCAACUCGACUGCAUGAAGUCGGAAUCGCUAGUAAUCGCAGGUCAGAAUACUGCGGUGAAUACGUUCCCGGGUCUUGUACACACCGCCCGUCACACCAUGGGAGUGGGUUGCUCCAGAAGUAGAUAGCUUAACGAAUGGGCGUUUACCACGGAGUGAUUCAUGACUGGGGUGAAGUCGUAACAAGGUAGCCGUAGGGGAACCUGCGGCUGGAUCACCUCCUUAA
rnacentral:rRNA from 2 species